GGUAACUCCACUUAUCGGGUUUUUCUAUCUGACCUUUCUCAUCCUUCGAUGAAAGACGAAUGCAGCCAAGGUGAGGUUUCUAAGAAACGAACGCAGGCGAGGUAUUCAACUCAGGUUUCUUCCUCAUUGUGCAAGAUUUAUUUGUUGGCUUUGUUCGACUGAAGAAGGAGGUGUUUUCCAGAUUGUUUGAGGUGGAUGGCCCAUCAUGUGCACGUAGGCUUAUUGAUUAUCUUACAGAAACGGGAGAAGAUGUGGGCUUAAAGAAUGUUUUGGUUUUGGAACGUGGGUUCAAUGGCUAGGCAGCUUCUGGUAGACCUGUCUGUUCCUCUACUGAUAUCGUUUAUAGAGCAGACAGUGUAGAUGUUGUAUCAAUUUCAUCUACGAAUGAAAAAUAAGAGAAGCCUUAUUAUCAUGUUGUAAUUUGUAAUACAGAAUGUCUGCUAGAGGAUGUGUGUCAAUAAUGCUCAAUUUGUGUACCUAAAUGCUUCUAAAUCAAGUGAUUUCCUUUCCUUAU